rnacentral:rRNA from 1 species
CCAAUAGCGUAUAUUAAAGUUGUUGCAGUUAAAAAGCUCGUAGUUGAAUUUCGGGAUCAGUGCGCUGGUCGUGCCUCUGGUAUGUACUGGUGUUACUGGUUCCUCCCUUCUGACGAACUGUCAUGUCAUUAAUUUGGUGUGGCGGGAAAUCAGGACUGUUACUUUGAAAAAAUUAGAGUGUUUAAAGCAGGCCCGCGCUUGAAUACGUUAGCAUGGAAUAAUGAAAUAGGACGUUCGAUCCUAUUUUGUUGGUUUUUAGGAUUGACGUAAUGAUUAAUAGGGAUAGUUGGGGGCAUUAGUAUUCAAUUGUCAGAGGUGAAAUUCUUGGAUUUAUUGAAGACUAACUACUGCGAAAGCAUUUGCCAAGGAUGUUUUCAUUAAUCAAGAACGAAAGUUAGGGGAUCGAAGACGAUCAGAUACCGUCGUAGUCUUAACCAUAAACUAUGCCGACUAGGGAUCGGAUGAUGUUAUUUUUAAUUACUCAUUCGGCGCCUUACG